GAAAUUCAAGGUGUUGUUUUCAUGCCUUGCCCUGCUGGUCAUAUCAUCCACUCAACCUCUUUGAUAUCACAGAACAAGAGCUCUGUGAGUAAGUAUUCAUUGGAGCUGUCGGAAGGCGGAAAAAAUUCAAGGAAGAGAUCACAAUCGAUACUACAAGGGGAACGGAGACUCUCCACGUACCGAGGACAUCGUCUAAUGAAUCAGCCGGCGAUAUAAUUUACGAUUUCAAAAGGGUGAGAGUUGCCAAAUCGGGCGUAGAAUCAGACGCUGGAUUUGUAACCGGGUAUGUAGGUGGGUAACCCGACGGAUUUGCAGACGUGUGUUUAGGAACCGCCGUUGGCGUCGUGUAUGCCAUAAUGUCCGAUGGCCGAUCUGUCGCAGAGUUUGUAGAUGGGUUACAUGGAGAGGAUAAACUCUUCUGUCUCGAACUGAGUUUCCCAGUGUCUUAACUUUUUUUAUAAUGAGAGCUUAAUCCAGUGGCGCUUUCCUUUGAGCUAAAAUUCAGUUCCAUUUUGAAAUCCCAUGAGGUUGAAAAGAUAAUAAUGUGCAUUUGGCUUAAUAAUAUACACGGAUCUUUCUGCCAGAGAGCGUUCCAAACACCUGGCAUUUCGAGAGCUACGCCAAAGUAAGCUGAAUAAGAACUUUGAAUAGGAUAGGAGGACCAAUGUCCAAAUCGCACCGUAUGAAGCUCUGCAGCAAAAGGAUACGUGCCUAUUAAUAUUGAAAGGCAAAAUGGACAUAAUCAUUUCAUUAUCAUUAUUAUAUUUAUGAAAAUUAACAAAUUCAACUUCAGUCAAGAUGUAAAAACUUCAAAUACCAUUAAGGGCCCUUUCCAUUUUCAACCAACUGAAUUGCAAACACAGCAUGUUCCCCAGUAAAAAUGAACCUUUGUACCUUAACUUCCUAAUUGUUUGUAAUGACAUUCCAAUUCCAUUGCCCUAAUACAUUAUAUACUUCUCUGAUACCACAACUUCUACCUCAACAUAAAUCAAGUAUCCAUGCUUUAAAUACUUCCCAAUUACCGUUUCAUCUUGCAAAAUAAGCAGAGCAAAUUUCUUAUCGCGAAUUUUGUCACGAUUAAAACAAACCUGCGUGUUUUUGUGAGCCACAAUUCAGUCGGAUUUCACUGAACAAUACACUGAAUGUUAAAAUUACCAACUUCAAGUAAGUGUAAAACUCGACCAGCCGAACUAUUUCAGUAUGUGGAAUUUUGCAGAUUUUGAACUUUGAUGAUUUGUGAAUUUUGAAGUCUUGACAUUUUGACAGCCUUUAAUCAGUCUUGGUCAGCGAAUCACAUUAUUUGAAUCAUUCUAACAAGGAUUCUGAUUUGCAUAUAGUAGCCUGUUUUAUAAGAGUAUAGAGCAUGCCGACUACACUUUUGUUCUCUUUGGAAAUAAUUUUUUUCCGUCACCUUUGAUCAUCACCAUUUUUACCUGCCUAGACCCCAUACCUCUGUUGGACAUAAGUAAGCCUCCAAGUUGACUCAAUCACCACACCAUUUAUCUGAUUAUUAUCGCCAAACUAGUUUCCUUAACUCUUUCUUUUGUGCUCCUGUGACCCCCUAUGAAGUUCAACUCGAAAUUCUGUCUAUUCCGAACAACAAAGCACAUGAACUGUACUCGUGUCCAACUCGUAUUCUAAAAUCCGCUAGUAGUAUUCUUUUUUUUUCUUUAAGCAAAUAUAUUUAAUACUUCAAUUGAGCUUGGGAGUGAUCCUACCAAACUUAAAUAUGCAAAGGUAAUUCCAAUAUACGAAGAUGGUGACGAGAGAGACCCUAAUAAUUACCAACCCAUCUCACUUCUCUCAGACUUUAAUAGAAUCUUUGAAAGAUUGAUGUAUGUACCUCUCAAAUCUUACUUAAGUAAGGCAGAUAUUCUUGUUCCAUCUCAAUAUGGCUUUAGAGAGAAACACUCCACCCGGCAUGCGACGCUAGACAUUAUCAACACUAUUCAAAACAACAUGGACAAUAAGUUGUAUACCUGUGGCAUCUUUAUAGACUUAAAGAAGGCAAUGGACACAGUGAAUCAUGAAAUUCUUCUGCAGAAAUUAUAUCAUUACGGAAUAAGAGGAAUAGUUAACAACUGGUUCUCUUCUAAUCUUAAAUUGCGUUCGCAGACAACUAACAUUGGCCCCUAUAUUUCUGAAAAGGCUCUGAUUGAUGGCGGCGUUACCCAAGGCUCUUUUCUGGGGCCUUUACUGUUUUUGAUGUAUAUAAAUGAUAUUACAAAUUGUUCAGAUAAGUUCAAGUUUUAUUUAUUUGCCGAUGACACCAGUAUUUUAUAUGGUAGAAAACCUUAAAUCCCUAGAAUUAGAAGUAAACGUUGAGUUAACCAAGCCUUGUGGAUGGCUGACAGCAAACAAUUGAACUCUAAAUGCUAAAAAAAUCUAAUUAUGCGAUAUUUCGAAGUUAUAGAAAGAAGCUAUCUUUCCAACCGACGAUAAAUAUUUUUGACAUCGAUAAAAUGUCAUAUU
rnacentral:lncRNA from 1 species